UAGUAGUUUGCUUAAUAAUAUAGUCAAGUAAUUAUGUAAAGGAUUAAUUUCUUCUUUGUAACUUACUUACAGGAAUAGUUUGUUGAAUCAUAUAGUCAAGUAAUUAUGUAAAGGAUUAAUUUCUUCUUUGUAACUUAGUUACAGGAAUAUGUAGCAAGCACAACAUGAAUUGAUCAACGAAUUUUGGCGGGUAGUGAUUGGUCGGGUUAUUAGGACUUAGAUGGGUUGAGGUUUUAUUUAACAAAUUAAUUAUUUUAAUUAAUAAUUAAUAAUUAUUUGACCAAUAAAAAAAAGGCAUAUCAUUAAUAAAGUUACGUCAAGUUGAUCCGUUAAAUGGAAGGGCAA
rnacentral:lncRNA from 1 species